CUGUGACUGUCAUUGAAUACUGAUAGUCACACCAGCUUACACUGUACAGUUAGCGAUUCAGCUAAACUGGGGCACUCAAGCCAAGGUCAGAAGGAGUUUCUGUUUGCAAACAAAGAAGCAGAGCAAAUUUGAGGCAGAAUGUCCCAAAUAAAAGAGCCACUUACUUAUGAAAGGAUAUAUUACAGCCACGCACAAAUCGAUUGGUGCAGGAGAUGGCAGCACACGAUUUUACCAUGGUCUGAUAUUAGCCACAUUUACCUGAAACCAUAACAACAGAGACACUUAAAUUAACAGGUUCAUGAUGAUGAUGAUUGCAAGGUGAGUGUCAGCACGUUUCCUUUCACUUACAUUCCAGAGAAGGAAUCACAAAACUGGUGGCAUUGAAGGAGCUAGCAGAAGUGGUAACUGGUAAGUGCUAUGCAGUGACGUAUGCACUUGUCAGUGUCAGAUAUGAUCAUGCCGUGCUGUUCACCUUCUCAAACAGAUUUCUAGUUCAUUAACACAUAUUUUCUGAUGACAAAAAUAGCCUUGUCUCCCGUCACAGGUCAGAGUGAGACCACAGGCACAGGGGGAAUGGGAAUGCAUGGCAGCGAACUGGGUGCUCUCCUGAGGAGAGUCUGCUCAGUUGCAGUCACUGAAAAACCCUGCCAGUGCUGGUCUAGGGCCUCCUGGGGCCUAUUUCACGAAGCAGGUUUUACAAACUCUGAGUUUCUUCCACAACUCUGAGUUGAUCUACUCUGAGAUAGAAAACUCUGAGUUUUCGGUUUCACAACGGCUGAUAUGAGUUGGUUUAAUCAACUCGGAGUAGUUUGACCCGGAGUUACGCGCGUGCACCGCAACUCUGAAAAGACAGCAUCAAUGGAACCCCGAUUCGACGAGUCACCAUGGAAACGGGGAAGCGAAAGGCUGCGUUUUUGAACGGGAAGUUUUUAAUGCGCUCAUAUGGCGAGUUUGAACACGUUUUUAGAAAGAAGUGCAACACCGCUGCAGCUGCAAAAGAGAGAGAGACGGCGUGGAGAACAGCCCGGAUCAAUGCGAUGAAGAGGAUGAAACUGUGUCUGCUGCCUUUACAGGGGGGGAUCCAGAAAGGCAUACAGAGAGCAUGGCUGGACAGCAGCAGGAUGGUUCCUCAGCUUCCACUGCACAGACUGACACAGUGAGAUGGAUGUUCAGGAAACACCAGAGCUUCAUUCUGUGGAAUUCAUGUGCAACUGUAUAAUUUAAUGUCCUCUAUGUAAUCCCAGUUAUCAGUAAAACGGAUUUACAAACUGCAUUUGCUGAG